UACGGAAGGCAGCAGUGGGGAAUAUUGGACAAUGGGCGCAAGCCUGAUCCAGCCAUGCCGCGUGUGUGAAGAAGGCCUUCGGGUUGUAAAGCACUUUUGUCCGGAAAGAAAAGCUUAGGGUUAAUAACCUUGAGUCAUGACGGUACCGGAAGAAUAAGCACCGGCUAACUUCGUGCCAGCAGCCGCGGUAAUACGAAGGGUGCAAGCAUUACUCGGAAUUACUGGGCGUAAAGCGUGCGUAGGUGGUUUUGUUAAAGUCUGAUGUGAAAGCCCUGGGCUCAACCUGGGAAUGGCAUUGGAAACUGGCUUACUAGAGUGCGGUAGAGGGGUGUGGAAUUCCCGGUGUAGCAGUGAAAUGCGUAGAUAUCGGGAGGAACAUCUGUGGGCGAAGGCGACACCCUGGGACCAGCACUGACACUGAGGCACGAAAGCGUGGGGAGCAAACAGGAUUAGAUACC
rnacentral:rRNA from 1 species